AUUGAACGCUGGCGGCAGGCCUAACACAUGCAAGUCGAGCGGAUGAAGGGAGCUUGCUCCUGGAUUCAGCGGCGGACGGGUGAGUAAUGCCUAGGAAUCUGCCUGGUAGUGGGGGAUAACGUCCGGAAACGGGCGCUAAUACCGCAUACGUCCUGAGGGAGAAAGUGGGGGAUCUUCGGACCUCACGCUAUCAGAUGAGCCUAGGUCGGAUUAGCUAGUUGGUGGGGUAAAGGCCUACCAAGGCGACGAUCCGUAACUGGUCUGAGAGGAUGAUCAGUCUCACUGGAACUGAGACACGGUCCAGACUCCUACGGGAGGCAGCGGUGGGGAAUAUUGGACAAUGGGCGAAAGCCUGAUCCAGCCAUGCCGCGUGUGUGAAGAAGGUCUUCGGAUUGUAAAGCACUUUAAGUUGGGAGGAAGGGCAGUAAGUUAAUACCUUGCUGUUUUGACGUUACCAACAGAAUAAGCACCGGCUAACUUCGUG
rnacentral:rRNA from 1 species